rnacentral:lncRNA from 1 species
UGCUACAGGGGUUUUAGGGAAUUAGGGUUUUACUUUUGAAAGUUUAAAGAAACUCUAUUAAUGUAUGCCUAAAAUAUUAAAUAUUGGUGCAUUCUUGUUAUAAUGGUUUGUUUAGUCUAAAAAAUAAGUUUCAUAAAUCCCUAAAAAAUAUAAUUAUUUUUUAAAUUUUUAUACGUUAACUCUUUAAGUAUUUAUGGUCGAAAAUUUGAGGUUAAAAUAAACAAAAGUUAGUUAUCUGUGUCUAAAUUGAUAAAUACUAUUAGAUCCUGCAAAAAGUAAUACCUUACAUCAUUCCAGUAUGGAGCCAUUGCCAUUUAAAACGGUAGGAGGUUUGACUUACGAUGAAGUCAACAUACAAAUCGACACAUUUUAUGUCGAUACACUGCCUUCGGGGUCUGAGUCAGAAAUUUAUAUGGACUCCUCCGAUAUAGAGGACGAAACUUUAGUUCCUACAGUUAUUACAGAUAUGGAAGAAGAUCUGCCGGUUUCUGAGGAGGAAGAUCCAAGUGAUAAUAUCCCCCUUUUCGAACUACAAUAACAGUGGUCAAAAGGUAAAAUUCCUGUUUGGUCUAAUGUUCAUAGAUCUGAUCCUCUUCCUCAAUUUACCCAACCUUCUGGAAAGUUUAUCAAAGACAUUAAUGAUCCAACACCGUAUAUGAUUUUUGAACUGUUUAUUACUAAGGAAUUUAUUGAUACUCAACUGGGAAAAGCUAUGUCCCGACAAAUCAGUGUGAAAUAAAUGCUUUUCUGGGCAUAAAUUUGUUAAUGGGUAUCAAACGUAUUCCCAGCUAUAAGGAUUAUUGGUCAACUGCUCCCGAAUUGCAUGAUGCUUUUAUCAGCUCAGUAAUGACCCAAAAAAGAUUUGGAUGGCUCUUGUGUCAUCUCCAUCUGAAUAAUAAUUCUCUGAUGCCUCCAAAAUCUUCCCCAGACUAUGAUAAGCUCUAUAGAAUUUGCCCUAUACUGGAACUGUUGACUCAUAACUUUGAAAAAUGCCUAAUUCCUAAUCAAGUAGUUGUAGUUGAUGAGUAAAUUUUUAAAUUUAAGGGUCGUAGUAGCCUUAAGCAGUACAUGCCAAAAAAACCAAUUAAAAGGGGGUAUAAGAUGUAGAUGUUAGCUGAUAAAUCUGGUUAUUGCUUAAAAUUUGAUUUGUACACUGGAAAAUCACCUACUCGUGAUAUAGAAAAGUGCCUUGGUUCAAGAGUCGUUACAAAUUUGAUAAAAUACUUGGAAAAUAAAGACCAUAUGUUAUAUGUUGAUAAUUUUUUUACUAGCGUUUUUACUAGCGAAAUGCGGUGAUGUACAAUGAUGUACAAUACAAGCAGUACCGGAUAUUGUUAGCUGCAAAAUGGAAAGACUGUCGAUGUGUUCACAUGUUAUCAAAUUUUCAUCAGGCAGAAGAUGUAGGAAUAGUAAAAAGAAAAGAAAGAAGUGGACAAAUUACUGAAAUUCCAUGUCCUUAAUCUAUAAUCGAUUACAAUUCUAAUAUGAAUGGGUCGACAUAUUUGACCAAAGACCUUCUAACUACAAGUUUCACCGUCGCAGUAAAAAGUGGUGGCAUCGAAUAUUUUUUUACUUACUAGAUGCAUCAAUUGUAAAUUCCAAUAUUAUUUAUAAUAGGGUGGAGUUACCAAAAAUGUCUGCUAAAAAUUUUAGACGAAGUGUCAUAAACGGUUUAAUAUCAGAAACGCUUGUAAAUCGAAAGAGAAAUUUGGUUGCACCAUUAGAUGUUGAAAUAAAAAAAUACAAACCUUAUGUACCCUUAGAGAUAAGACAGCAGUCAUCUUCUCAUCAACCUACAAGGAGUACCAGAAGAAGAUGCACGCUUUGUAGCACUAAGGCUAACCAGGUAAGGACGGAUUGGGUAUGUUCCAUAUGUAAAGUCCCUUUGUGCUUGGGAAAACGUAAAGAGUGUUUCCAAAGUUAUCAUGUAACGUAAUUUUUAGUACCCAAGUUUGUGUGAGUUUUUAAAUAAAUUUGUUAUCUUAC